rnacentral:rRNA from 1 species
UACGAAGGGGGCUAGCGUUGCUCGGAAUCACUGGGCGUAAAGCGCACGUAGGCGGAUUGCUAAGUCGGGGGUGAAAUCCUGGAGCUCAACUCCAGAACUGCCUUCGAUACUGGCGAUCUUGAGUCUGGGAGAGGUGAGUGGAACUCCGAGUGUAGAGGUGAAAUUCGUAGAUAUUCGCAAGAACACCAGUGGCGAAGGCGGCUUACUGGUCCGGUUCUGACGCUGAGGCGCGAAAGCGUGGGGGAGCAACAGG